rnacentral:tRNA from 1 species
CAUGAAUUUAAGCUUCAUGUAUAAAGAAAAGCCUUUUAUUAGAA